rnacentral:tRNA from 2 species
CCCUGGUUAGCUCAGUUGGUAGAGCGCUCCACUGGAAAUGGAGAGGUCUCGGGUGCGAUACCCGAACCAGGCG